rnacentral:lncRNA from 1 species
ACACAAGCAAACCAUGUGGUUAAAGCCUCUGGAACUGGUUUGAGCAAAGCUGUAGGUGAUUUGUCAAAAUCAUCUGCAAAACCAGAUUUCUAACACCUCCCUGCUGUGUAUCUCAUUUCUGCUGAUGUGUGGUGCUUCAUAAGAUGGGGACGUUAAGCAUGCAGCAACUACAGUCAUUUGUUCUCAGAGUCUGGACCAAAGAGAAACAAGAAAAGCUGGAGUCACACUACCAAAGGCCGAAGCUGAGCAACAGAGCUCUGGAGUCAGCUGCCUGGGUUCCGCAUGCAGCGCUGCCGUGGACAAUCUGUCUCUCUUGCAUAUAUGACUUACCAGUUUUACUUUCAGUCUCUCCAUUUCUAAUUAAAUGAGAUGCAGAAAUGCUGGUGCCUUG